rnacentral:rRNA from 1 species
UACAGAGGUCUCAAGCGUUGUUCGGAUUCAUUGGGCGUAAAGGGUGCGUAGGCGGCGCGGUAAGUCGGGUGUGAAAUCUUGGAGCUUAACUCCGAAACUGCAUUCGAUACUGCCGUGCUUGAGGACUGGAGAGGAGACUGGAAUUUACGGUGUAGCGGUGAAAUGCGUAGAUAUCGGGAGGAACACCAGUGGCGAAGGCGGCGAUCUGGGAAGAUACUGACGCUGAGGUGCGAAAGCGUGGGGGAGCAAACAGGGAUU